GCAAACCCAGGAAUCUGCGGGGCCUGCCACAAGCUGCUCUGGCCCCAGGGUUCUGGGCAUCAGGAAGGGAGCCAGGCGGGGCUGGGGAACAGCUGUUGACUUCCCCCAGCAGGUGGGUGCUGCUUCCAUGGCGACCAGGCAGAUGCGGAUGGAUUCCUUAGGCAGGGUGUGGGGACUUGAGGGGGUGCACGCAAGGGCUGGAACGGAGAAAGGGAAUUGGGGGUUGUCUCUCUCCUCUAUAUAAUAGCCUCCUUCUGACAAGGAGCUUCUGUUCUUUUCCACUGGAAAGCUUUUAAGAACGCUGAAAAGGACAGGCAAUUACAGGAAGGUUAGGUGCGCCUGAUUGGAUGUUGUUACAGAUCACUCAUUGUCAUACACGGCGUUUGGAAAGGCGGCCAUCGGGGACUGAUUGCCGUUUAGGAUGAAAGAACUGAGGCUCAGGAGGAUGAAGGAAGCUAGUGAGCAUCACACCGAAGGAAGCAAAGUCAAUGAAGGACUUUCGGCACGGAAAAAGAUAUGAUGGAAUAUACAGAUCAACGCUUUGGCGCUGGCGAGGCAGAUGGAUUGGAGGUGUCGAGAGACAGAAAGGCCAGUUAGGAGACUAUUGACACAUCCAGGUGAGAGAUUUGCUUGAACUAAGGUGGUGACAGUGGGUAUGGAUUGGGGAGAGUAUUGAUGAAUGAAAUAUUUUGAAAGCAA